UACAGAGGGUGCGAGCGUUAAUCGGAAUUACUGGGCGUAAAGCGUGCGUAGACGGCUAUCUAAGUCGGGUGUGAAAGCCCCGGGCUCAACCUGGGAAUUGCAUUCGAGACUGAAUAGCUAGGGUACGGUAGAGGGAAGUGGAAUUUCCGGUGUAGCGGUGAAAUGCGUAGAUAUCGGAAGGAACAUCAGUGGCGAAAGCGGUUCUCUGGGCCUUACCUGACGCUGAGGAGCGAAAGCGUGGGGAGCGAACAGG
rnacentral:rRNA from 1 species